rnacentral:rRNA from 1 species
AAUGGACGCUGGCGGCGUGCCUAACACAUGCAAGUCGGAUGUGCCGCAAGGUGCAUGGCAGACGGGUGAGUAACGCGUGGGGAGCCUACCUCUUUGUGGGGAAUAACGUUCCGAAAGGAAUGGUAAUACCGCAUGAGACCACAGGCUGGGAUGCUUGUGGUGAAACCCGGGGACCGAAAGGCCUGGGGCAAGGAGAGGGUCCUGCGUCUGAUUAGCUAGUUGGCGGGGUAACGGCCCACCAAGGCGUCGAUCAGUAGCCGGCCUGAGAGGGUGAUCGGCCACACUGGAACUGAGACACGGUCCAGACUCCUACGGGAGGCAGCAGUGGGGAAUUUUGCGCAAUGGGCGAAAGCCUGACGCAGCAACGCCGCGUGGGUGAUGAAGGUCUUCGGAUCGUAAAACCCUGUCGUCAGGGACGAAGGUUGCAUGUCUAAUAGAUGUGCAGCUUGACGGUACCUGGAGAGGAAGCCCCGGCUAACUCUGUGCCAGCCGCCGCCGUAAGAC